rnacentral:rRNA from 1 species
AGCAGUAGCCGCGGUAAUACGAAGGGGGCUAGCGUUACUCGGAAUUACUGGGCGUAAAGGGCGCGUAGGCGGCGCUCCAAGUUAGGCGUGAAAGUCCUGGGCUCAACCUGGGAACUGCGCUUAAGACUGGAGUGCUUGAGGAUGGAAGAGGGUUGUGGAAUUCCCAGUGUAGAGGUGAAAUUCGUAGAUAUUGGGAAGAACACCGGUGGCGAAGGCGGCAACCUGGUCCAUUACUGACGCUGAGGCGCGACAGCGUGGGGAGCAAACAGGAUUAGAUACCCCCGUAGUCCCUGUCUCUUAUAC